GCUCUCGUGCAAGCUCAAGUACACAAGAGACAAUUCGGAUUUCGCCAUGAAACUGAUCGCUGUGAUCGUUGCGAUUUUAUCCAUCGCUGUUUUUGUUUCAUCCCAGCCUGUGGCGGAUACUGGAGAAGACUUGAAUCGCAUCAUGGGAAGAUCCUCUGAUGUUGAUGAAAUCAUUGUGAACCCUGAGUUUAUCGAUGGUGCAUUGACGAAGCAGCGGCGUAAACGGUAUAGGCAACCCUAUUCUUCGCCUUGGGGUGGUGGUAUCUGGGGUGGUCUGUCACCAGGUACUCGCGGCGCCAUAAAUCGACCAGGUGUGUUUUGGUGAAAAACUUGAGGAUGAUGAAGAUUACUCCAUGUCAAUAUUUGAGAAAAAAAUGUACUUUGAUGGCAAUGAUAUCCAAUAAAUUGAAGACUAUUUAAUAUUGAAA